UACGUAGGGGGCUAGCGUUGUCCGGAAUCAUGGCGUAAAGAGCGUGUAGGCGGUCCGGUAAGUCCGCUGUGAAAGUCGGGGGCUCAACCCUCGAAUGCCGGUGGAUACUGUCGGGCUAGAGUGCGGAAGAGGCGAGUGGAAUUCCUGGGUGUAGCGGUGAAAUGACGCAGAUAUCAGGAGGAACACCGGUGGCGAAGGCGGGGUCUCUGGGCCGUAACUGACGCUGAGGAGCGAAAGCGUGGGGAGCGAACAGG
rnacentral:rRNA from 1 species